GUGAGUAACCUUACCAUUUGGUGUUUUCUAUUAGCACAAGUUUAUUUUUGAGAAAAUCAUGUUAAGUAGUACACAUGCGGUGAUAAAGGUCUUCCAUGCUGAUAAAGGGUGACACUUUGUCUUAGGAAGAAACAUUGAUCCAGAUAUAUUAUACUCCUGGAUGUUGCCUGGAUGAUUAUACUGUUAAAUUCCCUGGAAAUGUGCCCAGUGACUCCCUCCUCCUGCUAAUUAACAACAGGCUGCAUACUUCCAUCCCAACAUAGAUUUAAAUAACUUCCAAAGUCUUUCUGGGUAACUCUUAUGGGAGCUAACGCUUCUCUGUGGGAAGAGUAACUUUAUUAAAAGACCAGCAGCCCAGUGUUGAGCAACCUCACCAAGAGGAACCACCAGCUGAGAUUCAGGAUAUCACACCUAGAAAUGAGGAAGGAGAGGAUCCAGUGAAUCGUGAUGAAGAAGAGGAGAAGGAUCCCUUUGAAGAUUCUGGCCUGGAAGCUGAUCUCCAGCUAUUUGCUGAGGCAAAGACUGGGGAUGAAGGUGGAGAUGGUCCUGAUGUCAGGGAGGAGUUUGCAUCAAAUACAGAGCCUGUUGAAAUGCCAGAAGCAGGUGAAGGGCAGCCAUUUGCUUGAAAGAAGAUAAACUGAAACCAUCUAUGCUGCUCUUAUGUUCUGUAUUUGACUAUUAAAGUUCGGUCAAUAAAGUUUUGUUUUCUACUUGCACAUUUUUUGUUAAAUUUAUCCCCGGGUAUUUAAUGUUAUUGAAAAUUCAUGGUUUGUGAUUUUUAUUGUCUAGUUGAGGCUGUCUGUAGAGAUAGAAUGUCUAUAUAUAGAUUUUCUGUCCAACAAUUCCUCUAAAUAUGCAUAUUAAUUCCACAAAUUUAGAUCUAGAUUAUUUUUGCUUUUCAAAAUAUACUAUUAUAUUUGAAUAUCAACAGUUUCUACUGGCUUAAACCUUAAACCUGUCCUCAUUUUGCAGCAUUGAACAAACCUGGCCAGAAUAGUCUUGACUAAAGCAGGUGAUAAUCGGCAUUUAUCCGAAUAGGAAAUGAAAAAUCUUCUUCUCCAUUUCAACCUGUUUACGUUGUUUUUUGUAGAUAUACUUUAUCAGAGUAAGUUCCAUUCUAUUCCUAGUUUGCUGUCUUAAAUAUAGAUUAAUUAUCAUCAAACACUUAUACUGCAUCAAUUGGGAUGAUCAUAGAAUUGUUUUCCCUCCAUUUUUCUAUUAAUGUGGUGAAUUGCAUUGGUAACCUUAUACAUGUAAACCACCCUUGCACUUCUAGGGUUAAAAAAAUUGGGUCAUAACAUAUUCUCUAGGUGUAAUCUACAUGUUAAUGCAUAUACAUACAUAUAUAU
ensembl:lncRNA